CAGCAGCCGCGGUAAUACGUAGGGUGCAAGCGUUGUCCGGAAUUAUUGGGCGUAAAGGGCUCGCAGGCGGUUUCUUAAGUCUGAUGUGAAAGCCCCCGGCUCAACCGGGGAGGGUCAUUGGAAACGGGGAAACUUGAGUGCAGAAGAGGAGAGUGGAAUUCCACGUGUAGCGGUGAAAUGCGUAGAGAUGCGGAGGAACGCCCGUGGCGAAAGCGAGGUCCUGGACGUUUUCUGACGCUGAGACGCGAAAGCUAGGGGAGCGAACGGGAUUAGAUACCCCUGUAGUCCCUGUCUCUUAUAC
rnacentral:rRNA from 1 species